CCUACGGGAGGCAGCAGUAAGGAAUAUUGGUCAAUGGACGAAAGUCUGAACCAGCCAUGCCGCGUGAAGGAUGAAGGCCCUCUGGGUUGUAAACUUCUUUUAUAGGGGACGAAAAAAGGGCAUUCUUGCUCACUUGACGGUACCCUAGGAAUAAGCACCGGCUAACUCCGUGCCAGCAGCCGCGGUAAUACGGAGGGUGCAAGCGUUAUCCGGAUUUACUGGGUUUAAAGGGUGCGUAGGUGGGUUGGUAAGUCAGCGGUGAAAUCUUCGAGCUUAACUCGGAAACUGCCAUUGAUACUAUCAAUCUUGAAUCAUCUAGAGGUAAGCGGAAUAUGUCAUGUAGCGGUGAAAUGCUUAGAUAUGACAUAGAACACCAAUUGCGAAGGCAGCUUACUAUGGAUGUAUUGACACUGAGGCACGAAAGCGUGGGGAUCAAACAGGAUUAGAUACCCUGGUAGUCCACGCCCUAAACUAUGGAUACUCGACAUUUGCGAUAUACUGUAAGUGUCUGAGCGAAAGCAUUAAGUAUCCCACCUGGAAGUACGAUCGCAAGAUUGAAACUCAAAGGAAUUAGACGG
rnacentral:rRNA from 1 species